ACCGGAUUAGAUACCCUGGUAGUCCACGCCGUAAACGAUGUCGACUUGGAGGCUGCUCCCUUGAGGAGUGGCUUCCGGAGCUAACGCGUUAAGUCGACCGCCUGGGGAGUACGGCCGCAAGGUUAAAACUCAAAUGAAUUGACGGGGGCCCGCACAAGCGGUGGAGCAUGUGGUUUAAUUCGAUGCAACGCGAAGAACCUUACCUGGCCUUGACAUCCAGAGAACUUUCCAGAGAUGGAUUGGUGCCUUCGGGAACUUUGAGACAGGUGCUGCAUGGCUGUCGUCAGCUCGUGUUGUGAAAUGUUGGGUUAAGUCCCGCAACGAGCGCAACCCUUAUCCUUUGUUGCCAGCGAUUCGGUCGGGAACUCAAAGGAGACUGCCGGUGAUAAACCGGAGGAAGGUGGGGAUGACGUCAAGUCAUCAUGGCCCUUACGAGUAGGGCUACACACGUGCUACAAUGGCGCAUACAAAGAGAAGCGACCUCGCGAGAGCAAGCGGACCUCAUAAAGUGCGUCGUAGUCCGGAUCGGAGUCUGCAACUCGACUCCGUGAAGUCGGAAUCGCUAGUAAUCGUGGACCAGAAUGCCACGGUGAAUACGUUCCCGGGCCUUGUACACACCGCCCGUCACACCAUGGGAGUGGGUUGCAAAGGAAGUAGGUAGCUUAACCUUCGGGAGGGCGCUUACCACUUUGUGAUUCAUGACUGGGGUGAAGUCGUAACAAGGUAAC
rnacentral:rRNA from 1 species